CAUCAAUGGAUACGCUGCCGGCUAGCGGUGGCGUGUUCUUUGUGCAAUAUUCUUUGGUUUUUGUUGUGUAUGUAAGUGUCUAAGGGCGCAUGGUGGAUGCCUUGGCAUCGAGAGCCGAUGAAGGACGUGGGAGGCUGCGAUAUGCCUCGGGGAGCUGUCAACCGAGCGUGGAUCCGAGGAUUUCCGAAUGGGGAAACCCAGCACGAGUGAUGUCGUGCUACCCGCAUCUGAAUAUAUAGGGUGCGGGAGGGAACGCGGGGAAGUGAAACAUCUCAGUACCCGUAGGAGGAGAAAACAAUUGUGAUUCCGCAAGUAGUGGCGAGCGAACGCGGAACAGGCUAAACCGCACGCAUGGGUAACCGGGUAGGGGUUGUGUGUGCGGGGUUGUGGGAGGAUAUGUCUCAGCUGCUACCCGGCUGAGAGGCAGUCAGAAAGUGUCGUGGUUAGCGGAAGUGGCCUGGGAUGGUCUGCCGUAGACGGUGAGAGCCCGGUACGCGAAAACCCGGCACCUGCCUAGUAUCAAUUCCCGAGUAGCAGCGGGCCCGUGGAAUCCGCUG
rnacentral:rRNA from 1 species